AGCUCUGCCAGUGUCAGACGGGGGAGAAUCACAGCCUAGGCAGUCACUUUGGUUCCCUCUCGCUGAGGAGGAACUCAUGUACUGCUGCACAGAGUGUGGAAUCAGAGGCAUAGCGAGCCUAGGACUCAAGCUGUCCUGAAAGAACUCUCCACAAGGCUUUUGAUGGACGAUGGGCACCACCUGACAAGGCCUCAGGGCUGCAACAAAAGCACGGAGCUCGGAUUCAACAAGAGACGGCAUCUACCAAGCAUCAAGCGCUGUGGAAACAGAUGAAGAAGGUUUCAGCUCUCCAAGUAUGCAGUCACUUGAGUCAAUAAUUAUCUCCCUGCCUGAACAUUCACACAGACGUGCUUUCCAAAAGGCUUAGAGAUUAUACGUCAGGGCCCGGAUCCAGUGCUUAGACACCUGAGGAAAACAGUUGGUCACCGGAGUAAACAUGGACUUCUCUUUCAUCAAGGAAAGCUCACCGAGUUCUGAACCACUCUCAUGUAAGCUGUUAUAAGGAUUCCCAAGAAAUCUCUCCUUCCUCUUCUGUCUCCUACCCUUUGUACAGAUUUAAACUCAGAAUCUGAAAACAGUCUAAAUAAAGAUUCUCACACUUUCUCCU
rnacentral:lncRNA from 1 species